CGGCGGGCACGGAGGGGUACGGCCGGUCGGGGCUGCGGCGGGGGAGCGGCUCUACUGACGGCCCGCUGAGUUUUCAAUGCCAGAACAAAGUCAAACUAUAAUGGCAGUUGAUGAACUUCAAGCAAUAAUACAAAGAUGUCAAAUUCUGGAAGAAGGUGAUUUCAAAGGAGAAGAUUUUAGUCUGUUUCAGGUUGCAGGUCAGAAAUGCUUAGAAGAUGGGUAUGCAGCUCAGUUAUUAGAAGUAAUUCAAAAUGAGAAAAAUAAGGUUAUCAUCAAGAAUAUGGGUUGGAAUCUCAUCUCUCCUCUUGUUAGAUGUAUUUUCAUGUAUAAACAGGAAGAUGAUAAGCGAGAACACUGCCUGAAGAUACUAGAUCAGUUGGCACAGCUAUGCAAUCCGAAGGAACUUUUUUUGGGUUUACUUGAGCAGAUUGAGCAGGCGUCUGGAGAGCAAGCAUGCCAAACUGUCAUGUUAUUGCUUCAGCCUUUGCAGACAGUGCUUUUGAAACUUCAGAACAAGAAGGCCUACUCAUUGGGUUUAUCUUUGGCUAUGAUUAUGAAUCAGCUUACUCCCUUACCUGUACCUUAUACAAAACAACAAAUACAGGAAGACAAACUUGGUCUCUGUCAAUGUUGUAAUGCAGUGGUGGACUUUACUAAACCUUUUGUGAAUGAAGUUAUUAAAAACAUGGAAAAGUCAUCAGAAUACAAUGACAUGGAGCUGAAAGAAGAAUUAUUAAAAUUCUGUAUGAAAUGCCUGAAAUACCCAUUAUUGACAGCUCAGCUUGAACAACUUGAAGGCAUUGAAGAGCAUCCCUUUCGGCAUUUUGCAACUGAAAUUAUAGAUAUUUUGUGGGAUAUAAGAGAAUUAAUACCACUGGUGUUUUUACAUCAUAAGAGCAUAAGUCCACACUGGAAGAAUCAAGAGUUUGCGGACAUAGAGCGAAAGAAUUCUGCAGAUUCUUUGGCAUGUCUGUCAUAUCUGAUGUUUGUUCAGCAUUUUGGUAUUGAUUGCUUUCCAAUGGUAUUUAGUCCAUCAUACCUUCUGCAAUGCAAUAUGACACAUAUUGAAGUGCUACUGAAAAGAACAGAAGAAUCUAUGUUAUCUAAAGGACUUGAUCUGUUUGAGAGCUGUUUAUUGAGAAUGGAAGAUAAUAGCCUUCUCCAUCGGUAUUUAGAACUCAGAGAUUUUAUUAAUGUACCUCAGGAUUUGGUGCAAGUUAUGACCCUUUGUCCCAUAGAGCAUCUGAGAAAGAAGAGUUUACAUAUUUUGCAGUUGUUCAUAGACAAAUUUGACACAGAGGGAAAAUAUACAUUAUUCAGGUGUUUACUGAAGACAAGCAACCAUGCUGGUGUGGAAGGAUACAUUAUUAAAAAUAUAAAAGAUCAGAUUCACUUCUCGUUAAUGAGGGCAUGUGACAACAUUUGGUUUACAGGACAUCACCUGAUCUCCCUUCUAGAUUUAGUGCUUUUGCUUCCAGAAGGUGCUGAGACAGAUCUUCUGCAAAACUCAGAUAGGAUUAUGGCGUCACUAAAUCUACUGAGAUACUUAGUCAUUAAGGAUUGUGAAAGUGAUAAUCAAGUAAGUACUAAUUGAUUUGAAAAUGAUUGAUUAGCUGAGGGGAGAGCUGGAUUCACGUGAGCACUGUUAUCCUUGAUCAUGGUUUUUGCAUUUUUCUUUGCAAUGGUCAAUAAUCCAGAAGUGAUGCUUUUAUUAACUAUGUUAGGAGAUACACGAUGUGUUAUUUUAUUCUGAUGAGAUUUGAUUGCAUUCAUGCUUAACUGUUACUGUAAAAAAGCUAAUCCUUUUACUCUGCCUGAUGAACUGUGGUCCAUAAUUUUACAGUAUGUCACCAUAAAGUCACAUCUCUAUCAAAUAUUCCCAUGAGAAAAAAUAUUUGUUACUCUUGCUUAUUUAUUUGCUGGUACCCCUUAAGCCUCCAGGUGGAUUUCUUUAUAAUAAUAAUAAUACAAACCUUUGCAGUUCAAGAGAUCCAUUUUAUUCAUCUUUAGGCAAAAUACUUUUUGUGCAAUAUGCUAAAAGUUGUUAGUAUUAGGAUUUCUCAGAAAGUAUUUAAUCAUAUUUAAAUAGUUUUUAGCUGUGCAAAACAAUAUAUUUACAGCUGCUGUGCAGGUGCAUGAUAGGUACACGUUAAAAGCUUCUCUAGGUAUUAGCAUCAAAAAAAUUCUUGUCUGCAAGAUCCAUCUGCUGAAGUAACGAAAGGAAUGGCCAGACCCAUCCAAUUUUCUGCUACGUUGCUUUACUGGAAACAGCCUAGAAUGUUUUAUACAAAGGUAAUUUGCCAGCCUAAACUGCUCACCACUGCAGUUUUUACCUAUGUUUUUAUUACAGGUAAACCUCUUCAACUCCAUUCUCCUGUGUGUGUGGAUGUUUGAAUGUAGAUAUUUCAGAAAUACUCUGCAUAUUUAAACUUUGCAGUAUAUUUAAAAAAUUGAAACUGCCCUUAUUUUACCCAUAUAAUAUUAUGCUGCCUCAGUUUAAAGCAGGAUUUUAUAGCUUUAGUUGUAAUCCCCACCUCUUUCUUCUCUGUUUUGUUUAGCUCUUUUCUGUCUGACAUGUUUGUUACUGGUAGAUCAGUGCAAAGCUUUAUUUGUUAUUCAGCUGCUGUAUGGCUAUUCGAUGUAUUAUAUUAUGAUGGAUCUGCUGGUUUUGUGUACAGUCAGUCCUGUCCACCUGCAGUUGAUGGAAAUGUGUUGCUGGAUACUCAAGGGGAAACUUGUUUGAAUUUCACAGCUGGAUCGAUACAUGGAUUCCAUAUUCUAACAGCUGAUUUGUAGGUGCUCUGACUUGAAUUGUGUCGCUACAGCAUUGAAGAGCUGGUGGAAUUAUUUGUGUUUAGUUUUCCAGUUACAUUCCCCUACCAAAUGGCUACUUAUUCUAAUAGUAAAUGCAACUUCUGUUGACUCUUGAAAAUCAUUAUGUUCCACCAUUCCUCUAAUUUAUGUGACUCAGGAGCUUUUUAUCCACUAUAUCAUGUAGCGAACAAGUAUCAUCUAUCUCCUUAGUACUAAAUGUUUUGAUUUUUGCUUUAAAAUACUUGUUUAAAUUAGUGACAAUUUAAAGAAAAAUUGCUUUUCAGUUUUAAAGUACCAUAAAGCCUUUCUUCACUUGAAUAAGCAAUAUCAUGGUCAGAUUAAUAUUCUAACCUUCUUCUAGCAGACUGGUGUAUGGACCACACUUGCCAAGAUUGAGCAGAAUUUUUUAAAACCACUGCAUGUAGGACU